GAUGAAGAACGUAGCGAAAUGCGAUAAGUAAUGUGAAUUGCAGAAUUCAGUGAAUCAUCGAAUCUUUGAACGCACAUUGCGCCCGCCAGUAUUCUGGCGGGCAUGCCUGUCCGAGCGUCAUUUCAACCCUCGAACCCCUCCGGGGGGUCGGCGUUGGGGAUCGGCCCUCCCUUAGCGGGUGGCCGUCUCCGAAAUACAGUGGCGGUCUCGCCGCAGCCUCCCCUGCGCAGUAGUUUGCACACUCGCAUCGGGAGCGCGGCGCGUCCACAGCCGUUAAACACCCAACUUCUGAAAUGUUGACCUCGGAUCAGGUAGGAAUACCCGCUGAACUUAAGCAUAUCAAUAAGCGGAGGA
rnacentral:misc_RNA from 1 species